rnacentral:lncRNA from 1 species
CAUCAUAAAGUUGUUCAUAUUUUAUUUGAAAAUUUUUUUUACUUGCUACAUUGCUCCCCUUAUUUUAAUACAGAGUCACCCAAGUGCUUAUGACAUGAGGAACAAAUCUUUUCCUUAAUUUGAAGACCUAACUAAUAUCUUUAGAAGAGAUCGUGCUAUCGGAAUGGGAGCUGAAGCACCUGCAGAUGCUAGUGGGGAAAU